rnacentral:rRNA from 1 species
GACGAACGCUGGCGGCGUGCUUAACACAUGCAAGUCGAACGGUAAGGCCCUUCGGGGUACACGAGUGGCGAACGGGUGAGUAACACGUGGGUGAUCUGCCCUGCACUUCGGGAUAAGCCUGGGAAACUGGGUCUAAUACCGGAUAGGACUCCUGGCUUCAUGGUUGGGGGUGGAAAGCUUUUGCGGUGUGGGAUGGGCCCGCGGCCUAUCAGCUUGUUGGUGAGGUAAUGGCCUACCAAGGCGACGACGGGUAGCCGGCCUGAGAGGGGGACCGGUCACACUGGGACUGAGAUGCGGCCCAGACUCCUACGGGAGGCAGCAGUGGGGAAUAUUGCACAAUGGGCGCAAGCCUGAUGCAGCGAAGCCGCGUGAGGGAUGACGGCCUUCGGGUUGUAAACCUCUUUCAGCUAUGACGAAGCGCAAGUGACGGUAGUAGCAGAAGAAGGACCGGCCAACUACGUGCCAGCCGCCGCGGUAA